ACAGCUGAGCCUGCUGCGGUUGCUGCUGACUUCAAAGGCACUGCUUCCCUUGGAUCCACAUCAAGGACUGGAAUGAGAAAAGGGUCCCCUGACCUUCUUAUAGUGAGCGCUUAAACCUUUGUGUUGUGUGCAUGUGGGGUGUGUGUGUGUGUAUGUGUGUGUGUGUAUUUUUCCUGUCACUAUUGUGUUUUUAUGCGCUGGAUGUAGAAUGUUUGAAAACAAUAAUCGGAAAUUGUCUUUCACCUAUGGCCGGAGGCUGGAAUCUGGCUCAGUGAGGGGAGAGGCUGUGUUCACCCAGUGGGAACCUGGUGGCCACAUGACGGAUGUCACUAGGGUGGAUGGCAGGGCCUUCCCAGCCCCGGUCCCAAACACUGGUGCUCUGAGGUCCCCUCAGCCAGCCAGGCCACUGGCACUUGUUGAGUGUGUCUCUGCGACCCGGCUCUUUCAGUGGGAGAUGCCAGCCUGGAGCCCACCAUCCACCUCACUCUCAAGGUUUUCCAUUUCAGCUCAACCCGACCUGAUUAUCAACACCACACCAGGCCUGAAAGCCAGCCCUCUCCUGGGCUCUUGGGAAGGUGCCCUUGUGGUGGUGGGGAGCCCUGUGAGGAGAUAGCAGAGUUUCCACCCACCCCGGGGUUAAGGCUAUGGGUGCUGGUCGUGGGAAGCUGAUGAACUCUGUGGCCAUAAGUAAGGGAUCGUGAAGCUUCUCCAACCCCAGCUGCCCGCUCAGGCCUGCACUCGGCUUCCUCUCUGGGGAAGGGCAACAACAAGCAGCUCCUUCUCACAAGCCCGUCCCCUGCUGGGAGGCAUCGCCCAGCUUCAGUGGCCUCUCGUUAACAGAAAGCACCACAGCAAUGCUAACAGGGGCCGGCUAGGCCUGUGCGGCAUGACCUCUCCCAAAAGGAGACCAGCCAAGCUGCAGGCCAAUACCCACAGGCUGCAAAGGAGACGGAGACUGUUGACGAGGGAAAUAAUGAGAAGCACGAAGAUUUGUACCGAAGGGAUAUUGGCCGCAGAGAGCCUCUCUUCAGGCUUUCUCAACCAUUCUUGGUAGGCCCUGAGGUUUAAAGGAUCCAGCGCAGAAAAAUCAGGCCCAAACUGAUGAGGGCCUAGCCUUCCAAAAAGACGCAAAUCACCCCUUUCCUGCCCCAAACACCGGGCAGAGCAAAUGCUAUUAAUAACCCCAGCCUCCCCCAGCCCAUGCAGGCCCUCUAGUGCGGCCAGCUGUUCCGAAACAGGUUUGGGAAAGUGAUCUUUGGCACAUAAUGAAAAGGGUGUGUAUGUGUGGGGGAGCACCCAAGAGUUCUCUAUCAGGGCCAAUAUUAUUUUUAAUUGCCGAGAAUCGGCCUGUGGCCGUUACUCAAGGCUGCAGAGCACAGGCUUGCCAGGGAUCGGAAACCAACUUCAAGAGGAGGUAAAAAAGCACGUUCCAAGGACUGCUCAUUACCGAGCUGUCGUUUCUUACGGAAAAUCAGGUUACGCCUCAGAGUUUAUACAGUCCUCUCCCCACCACCUCUCCCUCUUUCGUUCCCAUUUAGAAAAGGAGCAGUGAAUUUGAGCAAUCUGGGAAUUUUGGUUUCUGCCCUUCCCCCGAAGCAUGACCGAUGGCCCAUUUUUCAAGCCAAAUCUCACCCCUUGCAGGCAGCUGUCAGGAAACCACAGAAGGUGCUUGAAGGCACACAAGAAAUGGCUGGUUCUAAUCUGGAGAAAAAAAUGAAUUAACAAGGCAGCUACUUAUGGAAGAAUGUUUUCUUUUCUUCAGCCCCAGCCUGCAUAUUUUCACAACAUGUGUACUCUGUUACCUUGUCACUUCCCUGUUUUCUUUGGGUAAAUAACUGGGCUCUGGACUUGGGGGGCGGGAAGAAAGAAAAACCCAGCUCGCAGUAUCACUGGGAAGGCCUGGCAGGCUGAGCUGGAGGGGAAGAAGGAGCACGCCCCGAGGAGAGAACAAGCCCAUUGCAGGCUCGGCUUGGCCCAUUCUGGAUGGGGCUUUUCAUUGAACUCUGCAGGUAAUGAUGUGGCAAUGAGAGACGGAGGAGAAAACUGCUCACCUCAGCCUUGGGCUUGGCAGACCUGAGGCUGAGGGAAAUAAAGAACUUCUCUCCUUCGCCAAGUCAAAUGUGAAGCCCUCUCUGAACCCGGCAGAGUCAACAAGGCAGACGGAGGCUUUUCUGCCAGCCUCUGCCCUCCCACUGGCUAGAGAAGCGGCCAGGGUGAGAGAGGUUGGUCUCAUCAUGCCCAGCCGUGAACUCUGGAGGGACCGGCAGCAGCCCGGGCCUUCCGUGGAGCACACUAUUGCUUCCUUUGUAGCAAUACAUGGUCCAUGUUUGGAUGUGGAGGCAAUGGGCUCCAUCCAGAAGGUGCCCAGAGGUUUCUGAGUUCCUCUCUUCCAGAGCUGCUGUGAACAUUUUCACUUCUCUGGCCUUGGAAUACUUACCUUGUGAUGUCUGUACCAUACCCUGGAUGGGUAUCUAGCAUGGCAUCUUUUAGAUAUGCCCUGGUGAUGAGGGCACCAGGGGGAUGAAUAGCUGUGGGGAAACAAAUGGCCACUCUAACAAGUCAGGGUCUUUUCUUCAUAACACUAUAGCAACUCUCAUUUGCUUAGGUCCUCACAGCUGAUCAUUAGAACAGAGAACUAACAAUAAUAUUGCUGCCUCAUUACUCCUAAGACUGCACAGUACACAAAAGGAGUUAGUUUGCCACGUGCCAAAACAUGGCUGUGGGUGCUGGCUCCACCCUGCAGAGGGAAACUGAGGCAGAGAGCGCUCAGAGGCUGAGACCAGCACAAAAUCCCCCACAGCUGACAUGGCAAAGGCAGGGUUGACUGGGGGCUGUAUGGGCCUCUGCAUAAGUCCAUUUCCUUUCUGCAUUUGCUCAAGAGCCUUUGGUUCCCACCUUAAACUCCCUGUCUCACCCUGUAGAUCACACAGCCUUCGUCAGGCAGAGGUUUGGCGUUCAAAAGUGGCAUUUUCCGUUGCAAAGAUCUGGCCCCCACCUGUUGAGUGGUUCUUUCAGUAUCACUGGAAGGGCUGCAAAUGUCUGGUGAGGCAGGGUCACUUGGAGAGAAAAUUUGAUGCGUUGUAAGCGUUGCCUCUUCAGAACUGGCAUUUCCAGGGUGACGAGGGCUUUCACAGGGAGAAAAAGGACAAACCAAAAGCUUUCUAGGACAGUUAUGGACUCUCCAAAUUAUUCAUGUGGUCUAAUUCUGCAAAGACAGCUUCAGAGACGUGCUGUGAGGCAGACAGGAGCAGCUCUGAGGACAAAGACAAUAGCUCGUGUACAUUGCUGCCACAAGGACCAUGCUGAGAACUUUGCACACAUGACCUCAUUUCAUCCUCCCACUCGCCCUCUGCAUGGAAGACUGUUGUCCUCCUUUUCCAGCAGAGGAAACUACAGAGACCAGACAAGUCGGGCCACCAGUGUGACUCUAAAGCCGGUAUGUUCAUUCACCAAGCUGCAGUGCCUUUGAGGACAAAGCUGAAGGAGCUCCCGUCUCAGAAUGAUGCCAUUUAGCUCGAGGGCCUGCUCCCUCUGGCUUGAUGGCCUGUCCAGAAGGCUCUGCCAGUGCCCAGAUGUAAACAUCUCUCCAGCAGCGUUGCCACGUGGAACCCUCACGCUGCUGGUCCCUGAGAAGCCACACGGGGAACUUGCCUUCCUCUGCCCUCCUCCCAGGCCCAGGCCUUGACCUACCUGGUUUAUAUUUAUACCUCAGCCUGAAUCCUCACACUGCUAUUCUUUUCUUCUUCCUAGUCACCUCGCCUAAGUGUCCCCAGCGGUGCUCUGCAGAGCAGAGGCCCCAGCUCCAAAACAACAGAACACAAAGUACUUUAACCUUUGAAUGUGGCAAGACCUCCGUGAAAAAUCGUUUCUCAGCCCAUUUGAUGGGAAAAGGGUGCUAUUUUUGUGACUACCUGUAACAUCUGAGUAUGCUCGUCAGAAGUCACUCCGAGGAAAAAUCUGAUUAUUAGUUGGGAAAAUGGGGCAAGGAGGAGGCAGAGAAGAGAAGUAGCUCUGCUGGGUAUGUGGCAGUGUGACUUCUAGAACUGUUUGUGUCCAUGUGGACUUGGACAAGCCACUUCAGGACUCUGGGUCUGGGUCUUCUCAUCCAAAACAAGGUAGGGAAGAGCCGCGCAGCCAGCAGAGCUGCUGCCUUCAGCACUGGGGACCCCAGGGCAGACAUAGGGCUUCUGCCUUCUGCCCAUUCCACAUGCUGGAGUCCUCCUCGGGGUGCAGUCCUGGCAAGCGUGUGUGUCUGUGGUCAAGACGACAGACCUUUCCUGCCAUUGCUUUAGUGGGAAAAUUGCAGAAAAAGGACUACAAACACCUCUGCAGUCUUCCUUUGAUUAAUGAAAUCAGGGCAUUACUCAGAAUUGCUCCUGGGGGCGCAGUGACCCACGCAUGUAACCCAGUAUUUUGGGAGGCUGAGGCAGGUGGAUCACAUGAGGUCAGGAGUUCGAGACCAGCCUGGCCAACAUGGUGACACUCUUCUCUACCAAAAAGGCAAAAAUUAGCCGGGUGUGGUGGAGGGCACCUGUAAUUCCAGCUGCUUGGGAGGCUGAGGCAGGAGGGUCACUUGAACCUGGGAGGCAGAGGUUGCAGUGAGCCAAGAUCACGCCACUGCACUCCAGCCUAGGUGACAGAGCAAGACUCCAUCUCAAAAAAAAAAAAAAUGCCCCUGGGAUGUGUAUUAAUCACAGGUUAAUGACUUACAAAUUCAUAUCGUGUCAUAUGUAUGACAGAUUAUAUUUAGAUGUAUUUAUAUUACAUGUAUGACACUACAUGAGUACAAAUUACAGGUGUUUGUACAGAUAUUUGUAUAUUUAUUAAAAAUAUCUAUUAUAAGUAUAGAUAGGUAAUUACCUACUAUUUUAUAGGUAUUUGUCUCUAUAGACACAUAUAUAUGGACAGGUUUUUUUGUGUGUAUAUAUAUAUAUGCACACAUAUAUAUAACACUAUAUCAAUACAAAUCACAGGUAUUUUUAUAUAUAUUACAAAUACCUAUUAGAGAUAUGUAUUAGUAAAUGUCAUAUACAUAUUUAUAUAUAUAUACAUGUAAAUAUAUAGGUAUUUGUGUGUAUAUGACACUAUAUGAAUACAAAUCACAGGCAUAUACUUACACACAGAUACGGAGUCACCCAAGGAUUCCCUAUAAGGCCAUGGACAAAAAGCAUGUGUCUCCCAUGGUGGACUGAAUUGUGUCACCCUCAAAAGAUACACUGAAGUCCUAACCCUGGUACCUGUGAAUAUGACCUUAUUUUUGAAAUAAAAAUAUAUUUGCAGAUGUAAUUAUGAUGUAGGUGGAGAUGAGAUUAUUCUGGAGUAGGGUGGGCCCUCAAUCCAAUACGGCUGGUGUCCUUAUAAGAAGAGGGGAGAGGAACAGAGACAGACACUGUCAUCCACAAGGAGACCACCAUGUGAAGACACAGAUGCAUAGGGAAGGGCCACGUGAAGAUGACAGCAGUGACGGGAGUGGGGCAGCUACAAGCCAAGGAAUGUGGAGGAGUGCCGGCCACCACCAGAAGCUGAGAAGAGGCAAGGAAGGACCCUUCCCCACAGCCUUUAGGAGGAACAUGGCCCUGCCGAAACCUUGAUAUCACACCUCUAGCCUCCAGAACAACGAUGCAAUCAAUUUCUGUUGUUUUCAGACACUCAGUAAAGUACCCGCGUGGCUAGGGGAGCCCUAGGAAGCGAGUAUAGCUCUCGUGGCCGAAUGGAAUGAAGCGAAGCCUUCAUGUCAGCAUUGGGCUUGCAGGUGCUGAGCCCCCGAUGGUGGCCCCUCUUCCCGGCUUUCUCUCAGGGGCAUGGGUGGGGUGGAGAUAUUCAACUACUUCCAACGGAAACCAACACUUGAAAGGUUAUGAAGGCCCCUAAACCUCCUGCUCUUCCAUGGUGAUGGCUGACAGCUAAAGCCACACUGCCACUACCCUAAGCCCAAGCUUGAUCACCUGGAAAUGGGGACUGAGAGAGGACGAGAACAGCACAGCCUUUGAGCUCUCAUGGGGUGGCGUAAAUUUAUGGUCAAUAUGCCUCCAGAUCAGAGGUCCUGCUGUUAGAGAGUUUUCUUUUUUUGCUUUAGUGGUACACAGGAAUUCUCCCCCAGCCCCCUCAAGAUACUCACACAUCUUUUUAAAAUUUGCACCUUUUUUUCAGUCUGGUUUCCUAUGGUGAAGGGGAGGCUAGGAAAUGCCCAAUAAAUCAUCUGUCUGUCUUCACUCAAUUGAAAGGCAGGAAAUGCAGAGAACAGUCACGUUACCUUUCCACUUUGCAUAUAACAAGAGCUAUCAGGACCUGUUCCUUUGAAGGGGAGGCCCUUCUGACAGCAAUAUUAAAUUUUCGAGGCCACUGGAGUUUGUUUCUUGGGACCAGACCCAAAGUGGGCAGGCAUGUGGGAUGUUGGCUCUUUCCCCUACCAGCCCCUUCUAGGAGUAACUUCUUGGGCUUACCCUGGGAAAUCUACUCAGUCAGCAAUGAUUUAGGGGCUCCAUGUGCACAGCACCAUUGUAAGUCUAUGUGGAUUAAAGGAAUUCUACUCUUGAGUCCUAAUUCUUAACAAAUUUACAUCUACAGACAGUCCUAGACUUAUAAUGAUUCAACUAAAUGAUUCCUUGACUUUAUGAUGGUGUGAAACUUCCAAUUUUAACACAAUGUACAGUAUUCAAUAAACAUGAGAUAUUCCCUACUUUAUUAUAAA